GACGAACGCUGGCGGCGUGCCUAACACAUGCAAGUCGAGCGGGGGGAGUACUUCGGUACAAACCUAGCGGCGGACGGGUGAGUGACACGUGGGUAACCUGCCUCAAAGUGGGGGAUAGCCUUCCGAAAGGAAGAUUAAUACCGCAUAACACAUAGCUUCCGCAUGGAAGCAAUGGUAAAGAUUUAUCGCUUUGAGAUGGACCCGCGGCGCAUUAGCUAGUUGGUGAGGUAACGGCUCACCAAGGCCACGAUGCGUAGCCGACCUGAGAGGGUGAUCGGCCACAUUGGAACUGAGACACGGUCCAGACUCCUACGGGAGGCAGCAGUGGGGAAUAUUGCACAAUGGGCGAAAGCCUGAUGCAGCAACGCCGCGUGAGUGAUGAAGGCCUUCGGGUUGUAAAGCUCUGUCUUUUGGGACGAUAAUGACGGUACCAAAGGAGGAAGCCACGGCUAACUACGUGCCAGCCGCCGCGGUAACAC
rnacentral:rRNA from 1 species